rnacentral:sRNA from 1 species
GCCAGGCGUGGUGGCACAUCCCUGUAAUCCCAGUGACAUGGGAAGCUGAGGCAGGAGAAUCUCAAGAUCAAGGCCAGCCUUGGCAACUUUGUGAGAUCCUGUCUCAA